rnacentral:rRNA from 1 species
UACGUAGGGGGCAAGCGUUGUCCGGAAUCAUUGGGCGUAAAGCGCGUGUAGGCGGCCCGGUAAGUCCGCUGUAAAAGUCCAGGGCUCAACCCUGGAAAGCCGGUGGAUACUGUCGGGCUCGAGUCCGGAAGAGGCGAGUGGAAUUCCUGGUGUAGCGGUGAAAUGCGCAGAUAUCAGGAGGAACACCAAUUGCGAAGGCAGCUCGCUGGGACGUAACUGACGCUGAGACGCGAAAGCGUGGGGAGCAAACAGG